UUCUCGGGUAGAAACAGUCUGUGUUGAU
rnacentral:piRNA from 1 species